UCCCCAAGAAUUUGGGUGUUUGCAAAUCCCAGAUGAGCCCCCAACUGAAAGACCCCCAGACUGGGGAGACCCUCACUCCAGUCUCGGGAUAAGCCACCCCAAUAAUUCAAGAGAGACU
rnacentral:pre_miRNA from 11 species